rnacentral:lncRNA from 1 species
GCCUCGUCCACACAAGACUCACCAGUGACGCCCAUAUAUAAAAGAUCGAAAGCGAAAAAAAAGUACAAAGUUGUACAGCACUGAAGAUCAAAAGUUGAAAAAGGUUGUGUCAAUACGGCUAAGUUUGUAUGCUUGGGAUAAGAACAUCCUAAUUAUUUAGAACAAUUAAUGCUAUUGCAAACAGUAAAUUUUAUCAAAUGAAUAUAAUAGAUAUACAUAAUGAAACUGAAGUAUUAACUCAUUACAUAAAACAAACACGAAUACAUAAUGAAUGACCAACACAGAAUAGACACACCCGACUCAGUCCAGGCCUCAACGCAGUAAAU